UGCGAUAAGCCUAGGGGAGACGAUAACCGGUCUGUGAUCCUAGGAUUUCCGAAUGGGGAAACCCGGCCGCAUGUCAUGUGUGGUCACCGCCGUCUGAAUAUAUAGGGCGUGCGGGGGGAACGCGGGGAAGUGAAACAUCUCAGUACCCGCAGGAAGAGAAAACAACAGUGAUUCCGUGAGUAGUGGCGAGCGAAAGCGGAUGGGGCUAAACCGGUUGCGUGUGAUACCCGGCAGGGGUUGCGUUUCCGGGGUUGUGGGACCGUUCGUCCAGAGUCUGCCGGCUCUGGCGCGUGAGGUGCGGGCGUAUAGGUGAACAGGUUUGAAUGCCUGACCGUAGAGGGUGUGAGUCCCGUAACCGUAAUGCGUUCCGCCGCGUGGUGGCGAGUUCCCGAGUAGCACGGGGCCCGAGAAAUCCCGUGUGAAUCUGCCAGGACCACCUGGUAAGCCUGAAUACUCCCUGAUGACCGAUAGCGGACCAGUACCGUGAGGGAAAGGUGAAAAGUACCCCGGGAGGGGAGUGAAAUAGUACCUGAAACCGUGUGCUUACAAUCCGUUAGAGCCUGACACCCUUGUGGUGGGUGGGUGAUAGCGUGCCUUUUGAAGAAUGAGCCUGCGAGUUAGUGUUACGUCGCGAGGUUAACCCGUGUGGGGAAGCCGUAGCGAAAGCGAGUCUGAAUAGGGCGUGCAGUGGCGUGAUCUAGACCCGAAGCGAAGUGAUCUACCCAUGGCCAGGUUGAAGCGACGGUAAGACGUCGUGGAGGACCGAACCCACUUCAGUUGAAAAUGGAGGGGAUGAGCUGUGGGUAGGGGUGAAAGGCCAAUCAAACUUCGUGAUAGCUGGUUCUCCCCGAAAUGCAUUUAGGUGCAGCGUUGCGUGUUUCUUGCCGGAGGUAGAGCUACUGGAUGGCCGAUGGGCCCUAAAAGGUUACUGACGUCAGCCAAACUCCGAAUGCCGGUAAGUGAGAGCGCAGCAGUGAGACCGUGGGGGAUAAGCUUCAUGGUCGAGAGGGAAACAGCCCAGACCACCGACUAAGGCCCCUAAGCGUGUGCUAAGUGGGAAAGGAUGUGGAGUUGCUUAGACAACCAGGAGGUUGGCUUAGAAGCAGCCACCCUUGAAAGAGUGCGUAAUAGCUCACUGGUCAAGUGAUUCCGCGCCGACAAUGUAGCGGGGCUCAAGUACACCGCCGAAGUCGUGGCAUUCAUACAUUUCCUAGCCUUCGUGGUUCAGGGGUGUGGAUGGGUAGGGGAGCGUCGUGUGGGCAGUGAAGCUGCGGGGUGACCCAGUGGUGGAGCCCACACGAGUGAGAAUGCAGGCAUGAGUAGCGAAAGACGGGUGAGAAACCCGUCCGCCGAAUGAUCAAGGGUUCCAGGGUCAAGCUAAUCUGCCCUGGGUGAGUCGGGACCUAAGGCGAGGCCGACAGGCGUAGUCGAUGGACAACGGGUUGAUAUUCCCGUACCGGCGAAGAACCGCCCAUACUGAUCCGGGGAUACUAACCACCCCAACCGGUCACCGGGAUCCCUUCGGGGUUCCCACCGAUCGCGCGGCGUGGGACCUGAUCCGGGGAGGUAAGCGUAUUAACAGGUGUGACGCAGGAAGGUAGCCAGGCCGGGCGAUGGUAGUCCCGGUCCAAGCAGGUAGGCUGUCCCAUUGGCAAAUCCGUGGGGCGUACGGCCGAGACGUGAUGGGACCCCCUUACGGGGGAAUCUGGUGAUCCUCUGCUGCCGAGAAAAGCAUCGACGCGAGGUUCUAGCCGCCCGUACCCGAAACCGACACAGGUGAUCAGGUAGAGAAUACCAAGGCGAUCGAGAGAAUUAUGGUUAAGGAACUCGGCAAAAUGCCCCCGUAACUUCGGGAGAAGGGGGGCCUGCCCCGUGACGGCACUUCGCGUGCUCGAGCGGGUGUGGGCCGCAGAGACCAGGGGGAAGCGACUGUUUACUAAAAACACAGGUCCGUGCGAAGUCGCAAGACGAUGUAUACGGACUGACUCCUGCCCGGUGCUGGAAGGUUAAGAGGACCGGUUAGCGCCUUCGGGUGCGAAGCUGGGAAUUUAAGCCCCAGUAAACGGCGGUGGUAACUAUAACCAUCCUAAGGUAGCGAAAUUCCUUGUCGGGUAAGUUCCGACCUGCACGAAUGGAGUAACGACUUCCCCGCUGUCUCAACCAUAAACUCGGCGAAAUUGCACUACGAGUAAAGAUGCUCGUUACGCGCAGCAGGACGGAAAGACCCCGAGACCUUUACUAUAGUUUGGUAUUGGUGUUCGGUGCGGUUUGUGUAGGAUAGGUGGGAGACUGUGAACCCGGCACGCCAGUGUCGGGGGAGUCAUCGUUGAAAUACCACUCUGACCGCUUCGGAUGUCUAACUUCGACCCGUGAUCCGGGUCAGGGACAGUGCCUGAUGGGUAGUUUAACUGGGGCGGUUGCCUCCUAAAGAGUAACGGAGGCGCCCAAAGGUUCCCUCAGCCUGGUUGGCAAUCAGGUGUCGAGUGUAAGUGCACAAGGGAGCUUGACUGUGAGAGAGACAUCUCGAGCAGGGACGAAAGUCGGGACUAGUGAUCCGGCGGCACCUCGUGGAAGGGCCGUCGCUCAACGGAUAAAAGGUACCUCGGGGAUAACAGGCUGAUCUUGCCCAAGAGUCCAUAUCGACGGCAUGGUUUGGCACCUCGAUGUCGGCUCGUCGCAUCCUGGGGCUGGAGUAGGUCCCAAGGGUUGGGCUGUUCGCCCAUUAAAGCGGUACGCGAGCUGGGUUUAGAACGUCGUGAGACAGUUCGGUCCCUAUCCGCUGCGCGCGCAGGAAAUUUGAGAAGGGCUGUCCUUAGUACGAGAGGACCGGGACGGACGAACCUCUGGUGUGUCAGUUGUACUGCCAAGUGCACCGCUGAUUAGCUACGUUCGGAUGGGAUAACCGCUGAAAGCAUCUAAGCGGGAAGCCUGCUUCAAGAUGAGAUUUCCAUACCCGUCAGGGUUGAAGGCCCCCAGCUAGACCACUGGGUUGAUAGGCCGGAUGUGGAAGCGAGGACUAAAGACUCGUGAAGCUGACCGGUACUAAUAGGCCAACAACUUACACCACA
rnacentral:rRNA from 1 species